UUAAACCAAUUUUCUCUAAUUAAAAACUUCAAUAACUGGCAAGAAGACUCAGGACUUAUUUAUAUAGCACUAAUAGGUUUCAGACCCAGGGAUAACUGGUCACACUAUUGACAGCUGACAGUGCCAUGCACUGUAGUUAUGAAGUCAGUUUAUUCAGUUCUUUUGUUAGCAACAGAAAAAUAUAUUUCUGUGUUCUCUUUAGCUCUGUGGAACAGUGGUAGCCAAUACUGGAAACAUCAGGGCCUAUAGAAAUGAGGCUCAAGAUUCUUCUACAGGAAACAUGAAAUUCUUCCAACCACACUGGGAUCUGAAUUCACCAUCCAAAUCCCAUGCCACUUGUUCUAUGUGGCUUGUACAGUAAAUCAGUCUUGAAUCAAGAAAACAGUGUUUAAUGUUAUGUCAUUAACUAUUGUACAAAAUACCAGAGCACUUCCUCUUGUUCACUACUGUUUAAGACUUGAACUAUAGUGGUUUCUGUUUUUUACUUUUUUUACACUGGGGUUUCUAUUUCACAUCACAGUACGUAUAUUAAUGUGGCUUACACAGAUUUUGCUUAAAAUUAACUGCCCUACCAUGAUUACUCAAGUUCUUACCUUACCGUUUUGUUGGGAAUGUGUUAAAUACAGUAUAUACACAUUUGCAUAAAUAAUACAUUUUGUAUACAGAGUCUCUUGUAUAUACAUUUUCUUAAAGCUUAAAAGUGUUUUAGCUAAAUUUUUGAUAUUGUAUAAUGUACUUCACAGAGGAAUUUAUCAGCAUGUUCAGUGUUGACUUUUGGUGCUCUUGGACGACCACUUUGGACUGAACUUUAAAUGUACAGGAUAUGCAGUAUCUCCUGUCUCUGAAAAAUUAAUUCAGUUGAAGGUUUUUCUCCCUUUUUUUGAGUUACUUAAAAAUCAUCAUGUAUUAAGUAUUAGAUCUAAAAGGGUAUUUGCAGACAGACUCAUUUAAAAUUACAACUUUUAUGUAUGUGGCAGGGUAUGGAGCUCCCUGGAGUUUGAGUGAUGCUCUAAUUAGACCAUGAGAGAUGUCAUAAAGUUGGUAAUUUUUAGAAUA